rnacentral:rRNA from 1 species
AUCGGCUAACUCCGUGCCAGCAGCCGCGGUAAUACGGAGGAUGCAGGCGUAAUCCGGAUUCAUUGGGUUUAAAGGGUGCGUAGGCGGAUUAGAUAGUCAAAGGUGACAGCCUGCAGCUUAACUGUAGAAGUGCCUUUGAUACUGCUAAUCUUGAGUACAGUUGAGGCGAGUGGAAUGUGUAAGUGUAGCGGUGAAAUGCAUAGAUACUACACAGAACACCAAUUGCGAAGGCAGCUCGCUAAGCUGUUACUUGACGCUCCAGGCACGAAAGCGUGGGGAGCGAACAGGAUUAGAUACCCUGGUAGUCCACGCUGUUAACUAUUAUCACUAGCUGUUGGCGAUAAAUUGUCAGUGGCUCCGCGAAAGCGUUAAGUGAUCCACCUGGGGAGUACGAUCGCAAGGUUGAAACUCAAAGGAAUUGACGGGGGCCCGCACAAGCGGUGGAACAUGUGGUUUAAUUCGAUGAUACGCGAGGAACCUUACCUGGGCUUAAAUGUAGAGCGACGUCUUCGAGAAAUCGGGAUUCCCUUCGGGGCGAACUACCAAGGUGCUGCAUGGUUGUCGUCAGCUCGUGCCGUGAGGUAUCGGGUUAAGUCCCAUAACGAGCGCAACCCUUAUUGUUAGUUGCCAGCGGAUAAUGCCGGGGACUCUAACAAAACUGCCCGUGUAAACGGGAGGAAGGUGGGNGAUGACGUCAAAUCAGCACGGCCCUUAUGUCCAGGGCUACACACGUGUUACAAUGGCUGGAACAAAGGGCAGCUACCACGCAAGUGGAUGCUAAUC